rnacentral:rRNA from 1 species
UACAGGAGGUCCAAGCGUUGUCCGGAAUUAUUGGGCGUAAAGAGCUCGUAGGCGGUUUGUCGCGUCUGCUGUGAAAACGCGAGGCUCAACCUCGCGCCUGCAGUGGGUACGGGCAGACUAGAGUGCGGUAGGGGAGAUUGGAAUUCCUGGUGUAGCGGUGGAAUGCGCAGAUAUCAGGAGGAACACCAAUAGCGAAGGCAGCUCGCUGGGACGUUACUGACACUGAGGCGCGAAAGCGUGGGGAGCGAACAGG